AUGGACCACAGGACAGGACUGCUGCUUUUAUUCAUCUGCUGUGCAGGUGUUGAUGGGCAAACUCUGACUGAAUCUGUUUCAGUUGUUAAAAAACAAGCAGAAUCUCACAAACUGACCUGCACAGCCUCUGAAUUCUUAAUCAAUGGCUGGUGGAUGAACUGGAUCAGACAGGCUCCUGGAAAAGGACCGGAGUGGCUUGCUGCUCAUUAUAACGAUCGCAGCUUAUAUUAUUCUCAGUCAGUUCGAGACAGGUUCACCAUCUCCAGAGACAACGGCAGAAAUCAGGUGUAUCUGCAGAUGAACAGCCUGAGAACAGAAGAUUCUGCUGUUUAUUAUUGUGCUCGAAGAGACACAGUGACUGAAACUCUGACAGAAUCUGAUUCAGUGGUUAAAAGUCCAGGAGAAUCCCACAGACUGACCUGCACAGCCUCUGGGUUCUCAAUCAGUGGCUAUUGGAUGGCCUGGAUCAGACAGGCUCCUGGAAAAGGACUGGAGUGGCUUGCUGCUCAUUAUAACGAUCGCAGCUUAUAUUAUUCUCAGUCAGUUCGAGACAGGUUCACCAUCUCCAGAGACAACGGCAGAAAUCAGGUGUAUCUGCAGAUGAACAGCCUGAGAACAGAAGAUUCUGCUGUUUAUUAUUGCGCUCGAGAGACACAGUGA